rnacentral:rRNA from 1 species
UACGGGGGGGGCAAGCGUUGUCCGGAAUUAUUGGGCGUAAAGAGCUCGUAGGUGGCUUGUCACGUCGGGUGUGAAAGCUUGGGGCUUAACUCCAGGUCUGCAUUCGAUACGGGCUGGCUAGAGGUAGGUAGGGGAGAACGGAAUUCCUGGUGUAGCGGUGAAAUGCGCAGAUAUCAGGAGGAACACCGGUGGCGAAGGCGGUUCUCUGGGCCUUACCUGACGCUGAGGAGCGAAAGCGUGGGGAGCGAACAGG